AUCCCAGUGCAAGGGCAAUAUCCGCGUCGGUGAAGAGACAUCUGAGGCCGGAUUUUUGCUAGUUGAAAACUAUCAACUGACUGCUUCUUUUGGCUUCGGUCGAAAGGGAAUUUUUGGAAAGCACAUAUCGGAGGUUC
rfam:Aureobasidium subglaciale EXF-2481 unplaced genomic scaffold scaffold_3, whole genome shotgun sequence.